CCCAGCAGCUGCCAGCUCAUGAGGGGCCCUUGUAGUCCCCAACCCUGGCCCCCAUACUCUCCUGCCUCUUACUCCACUGGGCCUGGAGUUCCCAGAGCCACAGACAAAAGGUCCUCGGAGGAAUCUUUCUCUAAACUGCUUCUCCUUUCCAACUUCCCAAAUUUGACCUCCUCCAGGGACCAUCCUUUUCUGACCACAGGAAAAGCCCUUCCUUAAAUCCUUUAAAGCCUAGGCUUAGGGGAUUGGGCUCCUGCUUUAAGAGGAGCAUGGCAGAGCGAUCAAGCACAGGGACCCAGCCUGCGUCUGAAGUCACUGUCAGCUCUGUCACUCACUAUUUCCAUGGCUUCGGCACUUUACUAACUUCUCUGUGCCUCUACUUCCUCUUCUGAAAAUGGGGACGCCGAGGUCCAUGGCGUUCACCUCGGAGAAUUAAAUAAAUGAAGAUGUGGAACAUCCUUAGAACAGUGCCUGGCACAUGCAGCCUGAACAGAACUGCUGUGCAGGAAGAGAAGUGAAGACGGAGACCACCCAGCGAGCACAAUGCUCAAAGGCCCAAUGGAUCCACUCCUGACCCUGGAGGUGACCCCAAGCCAAGCCCUGGGGAUGCUCUUAGAGCUUCCUCUCCCAGCACAGGCAGCUGACUUCACCCAUCUGGGAAUGGUCUUCAUUUUGAUGAAGAGGCAGUCAGGGCUGAAAGGUGGUGUGUGGGCAGGAGGCGUCUGCUGGAGCCCGGUGGCAGUGCAGCUGCAGAGCCGCAGAGGACGGCUCUCAAAUCUAUCCAGCGACAGUGAGACCCAGGGCUUUGAAAGACUUUGGGGGUCAAACUGCAACUUUGCCACGUUCCCAAUGUGGGAUCUUGGGCAGCUUGCUUAACCUUUUGGAACCCAGUUUUCCCACUACAAAAUGGGGAUAUUUACACACAUAUAAGAAUUUACAUAAGUAACAAUGUUCAUAAAUUUAGGAAUUCAUCAUUUACCAGAUAUUCUCUAUGUGCCAGGCACUGUGCUAAGCACCUUGCAUGAAUCAUUUUGUUUGAUCUUUAUAAUAACCUUUCAAUAGAGGAAGCAUUAUCUCUAUUUUACAAAUAAAGAAACAGAGGCUCA